CCUACGGGGGGCUGCAGUGGGGAAUAUUGCACAAUGGGCGCAAGCCUGAUGCAGCCAUGCCGCGUGUGUGAAGAAGGCCUUCGGGUUGUAAAGCACUUUCAGCGGGGAGGAAGGCGGUGAGGUUAAUAACCUCAUCGAUUGACGUUACCCGCAGAAGAAGCACCGGCUAACUCCGUGCCAGCAGCCGCGGUAAUACGGAGGGUGCAAGCGUUAAUCGGAAUUACUGGGCGUAAAGCGCACGCUGGCGGUCUGUCAAGUCGGAUGUGAAAUCCCCGGGCUCAACCUGGGAACUGCAUUCGAAACUGGCAGGCUAGAGUCUUGUAGAGGGGGGUAGAAUUCCAGGUGUAGCGGUGAAAUGCGUAGAGAUCUGGAGGAAUACCGGUGGCGAAGGCGGCCCCCUGGACAAAGACUGACGCUCAGGUGCGAAAGCGUGGGGAGCAAACAGGAUUAGAUACCCCAGUAGUC
rnacentral:rRNA from 1 species